rnacentral:rRNA from 1 species
UACGUAGGAGGCAAGCGUUGUCCGGAGUUACUGGGCGUAAAGCGCACGCAGGCGGUCGCCUCAGUCUGGGGUGACAGUUCCCGGCCUAACCGGGAAAGUGCUCUGGAAACUGUGCGACUUGAGGGCUUCAGAGGGAUGUGGAAUUCCAGGUGGAGUGGUGAAAUGCGUAGAGAUCUGGAAGAACACCAAAGGCGAAGGCAGCAUCCUGGGAAGUUCCUGACGCUCGGGUGCGAAAGCCAGGGGAGCGAACGGG